UGUGUAGACGGUAUGUUAAGUUUGUUGUUAAAUCUUCCGGCCUAACCGGAAAACUGCAAUAAAAACUGGCAAACUAGAGGAUGAGAGAGAGGAGUGGAAUUCCCGGAGUAGCGGUAAAAUGCGUAGAUCUCGGGAGGAACACCAAUGGCGAAGGCAGCUCCUUGGCUCAUUUCUGACGUUGAGACACGAAAGCGUGGGUAGCAAACAGGAUUAGAUACCCUGGUAGUCC
rnacentral:rRNA from 1 species